CAGUCGCCGCGGUAAUGCGUAGGUGGCAAGCGUUGUCCGGAAUUAUUGGGCGUAAAGGGCUUGCAGGCGGUUUCUUGAGUCUGAUGUGAAAGCCCCCGGCUCAACCGGGGAGGGUCAUUGGAAACUGGGCAACUUGAGUGCAGAAGAGGAGAGUGGAAUUCCACGUGUAGCGGUGAAAUGCGUAGAGAUGUGGAGGAACACCAGUGGCGAAGGCGACCCUCUGGUCUGUAACUGACGCUGAGGAGCGAAAGCGUGGGGAGCGAACAGGAUUAGAUACCCCUGUAGUCCCUGUCUCUUAUAC
rnacentral:rRNA from 1 species